rnacentral:rRNA from 1 species
AACGAACGCUGGCGGCAUGCCUAACACAUGCAAGUCGAACGAUCCUUCGGGAUAGUGGCGGACGGGUGAGUAACACGUGGGAACGUGCCUUUUGGUUCGGAACAACUCAGGGAAACUUGAGCUAAUACCGGAUGUGCCCUUCGGGGGAAAGAUUUAUCGCCAUUAGAGCGGCCCGCGUCUGAUUAGCUAGUUGGCGGGGUAAAGGCCUACCAAGGCGGCGAUCAGUAGCUGGUCUGAGAGGAUGAUCAGCCACAUUGGGACUGAGACACGGCCCAAACUCCUACGGGAGGCAGCAGUGGGGAAUCUUGCGCAAUGGGCGAAAGCCUGACGCAGCCAUGCCGCGUGAAUGAUGAAGGUCUUAGGAUUGUAAAAUUCUUUCACCGGGGACGAUAAUGACGGUACCCGGAGAAGAAGCCCCGGCUAACUUCGUGCCAGCAGCCGCAGUAA